rnacentral:tRNA from 1 species
CCGACCUUAGCUCAGUUGGUAGAGCGGAAGACUGUAGUCUGUGACAGCUAAUCUUUAGGUCGCUGGUUCGAUUCCGGCAGGUCGGA